UACGGAGGAUGCGAGCGUUAUCCGGAUUUAUUGGGUUUAAAGGGUGCGUAGGCGGGCUGUUAAGUCAGCGGUCAAAUGUCGGGGCUCAACCCCGGCCUGCCGUUGAAACUGGUGGCCUCGAGUGGGCGAGAAGUAUGCGGAAUGCGUGGUGUAGCGGUGAAAUGCAUAGAUAUCACGCAGAACUCCGAUUGCGGAGGCAGCAUACCGGCGCCCGACUGACGCUGAGGCACGAAAGCGUGGGUAUCGAACAGG
rnacentral:rRNA from 1 species